AUCGAACGCUGGCGGCAGGCCUAACACAUGCAAGUCGAGCGGAGCGGCGGACGGGUGAGUAAUGCCUAGGAAUCUGACUGGUCGUGGGGGAUAACGUCCGGAAACGGGCGCUAAUCCCGCAUACUAUCAGAUGAGCCUAGGUCGGAUUCGCUAGUUGGUGGGGUAAAGGCUUACCAAGGCGACGAUCCGUAACUGGUCUCAGAGGUUGAUCAGUCACAUGGGAACUGAGACACGGUCCAGACUCCUACGGGAGGAAGCAGUGGGGAAUAUUGGACAAUGGGCGAAAUCCGGAUCCAGCCAUGCCGCGUGUGUGAAGAAGGUCUUCGGAUGGUAAAGCACUGUAAGUUGGGAGGCGUUACCAACAGAAUAAGCACUGGCUAACUUCGUGCCAGCAGCCGCGGUAAUAC
rnacentral:rRNA from 1 species